UACACUCCUGCGGGAGGCAGCAGUGGGGAAUAUUGGACAAUGGGCGCAAGCCUGAUCCAGCCAUGCCGCGUGAGUGAUGAAGGCCCUAGGGUUGUAAAGCUCUUUCACCGGUGAAGAUAAUGACGGUAACCGGAGAAGAAGCCCCGGCUAACUUCGUGCCAGCAGCCGCGGUAAUACGAAGGGGGCUAGCGUUGUUCGGAUUUACUGGGCGUAAAGCGCACGUAGGCGGACUAUUAAGUCAGGGGUGAAAUCCCGGGGCUCAACCCCGGAACUGCCUUUGAUACUGGUAGUCUUGAGUUCGAGAGAGGUGAGUGGAAUUCCGAGUGUAGAGGUGAAAUUCGUAGAUAUUCGGAGGAACACCAGUGGCGAAGGCGGCUCACUGGCUCGAUACUGACGCUGAGGUGCGAAAGCGUGGGGAGCAAACAGGAUUAGAUACCCCAGUAGUCCCAUGAU
rnacentral:rRNA from 1 species